AGCCUCGUGGUGUAUGGCACAUUAGAUUGCAAGUCUGAAAGCGCAGAAUAAUCCCUGCCGGGGCUU
rnacentral:tRNA from 1 species